GUAAUGGCUCACCAAGGCGACGAUCCCUAGCUGGUUUGAGAGGAUGAUCAGCCACACUGGGACUGAGACACGGCCCAGACUCCUACGGGAGGCAGCAGUGGGGAAUAUUGCACAAUGGGCGCAAGCCUGAUGCAGCCAUGCCGCGUGUGUGAAGAAGGCCUUCGGGUUGUAAAGCACUUUCAGUCAGGAGGAAAGGUUAGUAGUUAAUACCUGCUAGCUGUGACGUUACUGACAGAAGAAGCACCGGCUAACUCCGUGCCAGCAGCCGCGGUAAUACGGAGGGUGCGAGCGUUAAUCGGAAUUACUGGGCGUAAAGCGUACGCAGGCGGUUUGUUAAGCGAGAUGUGAAAGCCCCGGGCUCAACCUGGGAACUGCAUUUCGAACUGGCAAACUAGAGUGUGAUAGAGGGUGGUAGAAUUUCAGGUGUAGCGGUGAAAUGCGUAGAGAUCUGAAGGAAUACCGAUGGCGAAGGCAGCCACCUGGGUCAACACUGACGCUCAUGUACGAAAGCGUGGGGAGCAAACGGGAUUAGAUACCCCGGUAGUCCACGCCGUAAACGAUGUCUACUAGAAGCUCGGAGCCUCGGUUCUGUUUUUCAAAGCUAACGCAUUAAGUAGACCGCCUGGGGAGUACGGCCGCAAGGUUAAAACUCAAAUGAAUUGACGGGGGCCCGCACAAGCGGUGGAGCAUGUGGUUUAAUUCGAUGCAACGCGAAGAACCUUACCUACACUUGACAUACAGAGAACUUACCAGAGAUGGUUUGGUGCCUUCGGGAACUCUGAUACAGGUGCUGCAUGGCU
rnacentral:rRNA from 1 species